rnacentral:rRNA from 1 species
CCAGACUCCUACGGGAGGCAGCAGUGGGGAAUAUUGCACAAUGGGGGGAACCCUGAUGCAGCGACGCCGCGUGGGUGAAGGAGCACCUCGGUGCGUAAAGCCCUAUCGGCAGGGAAGAAAAGCGAACAGGUUCGCCUGGACGGUACCUGACUAAGAAGCCCCGGCUAACUACGUGCCAGCAGCCGUGGUAAUACGUAGGGGGCAAGCGUUAUCCGGAUUUACUGGGUGUAAAGGGAGCGUAGACGGCAGUGCAAGUCUGGAGUGAAAGGCGGGGGCUCAACCCCCGGACUGCUCUGGAAACUGUACGGCUGGAGUGCAGGAGGGGCAGGCGGAAUUCCUGGUGUAGCGGUGAAAUGCGUAGAUAUCAGGAGGAACACCGGUGGCGAAGGCGGCCUGCUGGACUGCAACUGACGUUGAGGCCCGAAAGCGUGGGGAGCAAACAGGAUUAGAUACCCUCGUA